rnacentral:rRNA from 1 species
AUUGAACGCUGGCGGCAGGCCUAACACAUGCAAGUCGAACGGUAACAGGAAGCAGCUUGCUGCUUUGCUGACGAGUGGCGGACGGGUGAGUAAUGUCUGGGAAACUGCCUGAUGGAGGGGGAUAACUACUGGAAACGGUAGCUAAUACCGCAUAACGUCGCAAGACCAAAGAGGGGGACCUUCGGGCCUCUUGCCAUCGGAUGUGCCCAGAUGGGAUUAGCUAGUAGGUGGGGUAACGGCACACCUAGGCGACGAUCCCUAGCUGGUCUGAGAGGAUGACCAGCCACACUGGAACUGAGACACGGUCCAGACUCCUACGGGAGGCAGCAGUGGGGAAUAUUGCACAAUGGGCGCAAGCCUGAUGCAGCCAUGCCGCGUGUAUGAAGAAGGCCUUCGGGUUGUAAAGUACUUUCAGCGGGGAGGAAGGGAGUAAAGUUAAUACCUUUGCUCAUUGACGUUACCCGCAGAAGAAGCACCGGCUAACUCCGUG